rnacentral:rRNA from 1 species
CUUGACAUCCCGGACGACCCUUAGGAACUAGGGGUGCUUCCAUCUGGAAGAAUCUGGAGACAGGUGCUGCAUGGCUGUCGUCAGCUCGUGUCGUGAGAUGUUGGGUUAAGUCCCGCAACGAGCGCAACCCUUGCCUUUAGUUGCCAGAGUUCGGCUGGGCACUCUAAAGGGACUGCCGGUGUUAAACCGGAGGAAGGUGGGGAUGACGUCAAGUCCUCAUGGCCUUUAUGACCAGGGCUACACACGUACUACAAUGGCCGAUACAAAGGGCAGCGACACUGCGAGGUGAAGCCAAUCCCGUAAAAAUCGGUCUCAGUCCGGAUUGGAGGUCUGCAACUCGACUCCAUGAAGUUGGAAUCGCUAGUAAUCGUGGAUCAGCAUGCCACGGUGAAUACGUUCCCGGGCCUU